rnacentral:rRNA from 1 species
AACGAACGCUGGCGGCGCGCCUAAUACAUGCAAGUCGAGCGAGAAGACGUAGCAAUACGUUUGUAAAGCGGCGAACGGGUGAGGAAUACAUGGGUAACCUACCCUCGAGUGGGGAAGUAACUAGCCGAAGGUUAGCUAAUACCGCGUACGCUCCUUGGACUUCGGUUCAGGGAGGGAAAGCGAUACCGUGGGUAUCGCGCUCUUGGAUGGGCUCAUGUCCUAUCAGCUUGUUGGGAGGUAACGGCUCACCAAGGCUUCGACGGGUAGCUGGUCUGAGAGGACAAUCAGCCACACUGGCACUGCGACACGGGCCAGACUCCUACGGGAGGCAGCAGUAAGGAAUAUUGCGCAAUGGGCGAAAGCCUGACGCAGCGACGCCGCGUGGGGGA